rnacentral:snRNA from 1 species
AUCUCUGGUUUCCCUUCAAAAACGCACAAAUCUUUCGCCUUUUACUAAAGAUUUCCGUGGAGGGGAACACUCAAAUGAGUAUUCGCGAAUUUCUUACGGCCACCGUACGGUGGCC